rnacentral:rRNA from 3 species
UGAGUAAUGCCUAGGAAUCUGCCUGGUAGUGGGGGAUAACGUUCGGAAACGGACGCUAAUACCGCAUACGUCCUACGGGAGAAAGCAGGGGACCUUCGGGCCUUGCGCUAUCAGAUGAGCCUAGGUCGGAUUAGCUAGUUGGUGAGGUAAUGGCUCACCAAGGCGACGAUCCGUAACUGGUCUGAGAGGAUGAUCAGUCACACUGGAACUGAGACACGGUCCAGACUCCUACGGGAGGCAGCAGUGGGGAAUAUUGGACAAUGGGCGAAAGCCUGAUCCAGCCAUGCCGCGUGUGUGAAGAAGGUCUUCGGAUUGUAAAGCACUUUAAGUUGGGAGGAAGGGCAGUUACCUAAUACGUGAUUGUUUUGACGUUACCGACAGAAUAAGCACCGGCUAACUCUGUGCCAGCAGCCGCGGUAAUACAGAGGGUGCAAGCGUUAAUCGGAAUUACUGGGCGUAAAGCG